CCCAGCUCUGGACCCAGCAACACUGGGCAUGUUGGCUGAGCCCGGAAUCAGCCACAGGAUAUGGGCCCACGUGGGCAACAAGGGCUUCUGUGAGGUGAACCUGAAGAGUGCUCAUUGGGCCAGAGAGCAUGUGGAAUUUUGGUCAACACUCCCACCAACAUCAUGUACUAGAUAGAGACUUGGAUUAUUGCCACCUUUGGAUUACUGUGAAUAAUGCUGCUAUGAACAUGGUGCUUGGCCUGCCUGCCCUGCCCUGCCUGAGAGCCCUGAAGCCACAAAAUCAAAACUGUGCAUCUGGCCAAAGCCGGUUUGGCUCAGUGGAUGGAGCGUCGGUCUGCAGACUGGAAGGUCCCAGGUUCCAUUUCGGUCAAGGGCAUGUACAUUGGUUGCGGGCACAUCCCCGGGUGGGGGGUGUGCAGGAGGCAGCUGGUCGAUGUCUCUCUCUCGUCGAUGUUUCUAGCUCUCUAUCCCUCUUCCUUACUC